rnacentral:rRNA from 1 species
UUGUUGGUUUGUGUUACGGGCGUAUGGUGGAUGCCUUGGCAUGCUGGGCCGAUGAAGGACGUGUGAGGCUGCGUUAAGCCUCGGGGAGUUGCCAACAGUGCGUUGAUCCGAGGAUGUCCGAAUGGGGAAACCCAACACCAGUUGUGUGGUGUUACCUGCAGGUGAAUGCAUAGCCUGUGUGGAGGUGACGUGGGGAAGUGAAACAUCUCAGUACCCACAGGAGAAGAAAACAAUUUGUGAUUCCGUGUGUAGUGGCGAGCGAUAGCGGAUGAGGCUAAACCGUGUGCGUGUGAUACCUGGGUAGGGGUUGCGUGUGCGGUGUUGUGGGGUGUGAUCGUUGCGGGCUACCUGACCGCAAGAUGGUGUGUGUGCGUUAGCGGAAACGUCUGGGAUGGCGUGCCGGAGCGGGUGAUAAGCCCCGUACGUGAAGGCGUUGCACAUGUUGUCUGAUCAUGUUUUCCCCGAGUAGCAGCGGGCUCGUGAAAUCUGCUGUGAAUCUGCCGGGACCACCCGGUAAGCCUAAAUACCCAGUGUGACCGAUAGUGAAUAGUACCGUGAGGGAAUGGUGAAAAGUACCCCGGGAGGGGAGUGAAAGAGUUCCUGAAACCAUGCGCUUACAAUCCGUCAGAGCACCGUAUGUGUGUGAUGGCGUGCCUUUUGAAGAAUGAGCCUGCGAGUCAGCGGCAUGUCGCGAGGUUAACCCGUUAUGUGGGGUAGUCGUAGCGAAAGCGAAUCCUAAGAGGGUGUCAAGUGGCAUGUCCUGGACCCGAAGCGGGGUGAUCUACCCAUGGCCAGUGUGAAGCAGCUGUAAGAGGUUGUGGAGGCGCGAACCCACUUAGGUUGAAAACUGAGGGGAUGAGCUGUGGGUAGGGGUGAAAGGCCAAUCAAACUCCGUGAUAGCUGGUUCUCCCCGAAAUGCAUUUAGGUGCAGCGUGAUGUGUGCUUACCGGAGGUAGAGCUACUGGAUGGCCGAGCGGGACUAUCAUCUUAGUGACGUCAGCCAAACUCCGAAUGCCGGUGAAGUUUGAGCAUUGCAGUGAGACUGUGGGGGAUAAGCUUCAUAGUCGAGAGGGAAACAGCCCAGAUCGCCGGUUAAGGCCCCUAAGGGUGUGCUAAGUGGAAAAGGAUGUGGGAUCGCGAAGACAGCCAGGAGGUUGGCUUAGAAGCAGCCAUCCUUGAAAGAGUGCGUAAUAGCUCACUGGUCGAGUGGUUCUGCGCCGACAAUGUAGUGGGGCUCAAGCACACCGCCGAAGCCGCGGCAUAGUUUUUACUAUGGGUAGGGGAGCGUCGUGUGUGGGGUGAAGCCGUAUCGGAAGAAGCGGUGGACUGCACGCGAGUGAGAAUGCAGGCAUGAGUAACGAAUGAUACGUGAGAAUCGUAUCCGCCGAAUGACUAAGGGUUCCUGGGUCAAGUUCGUCUUCCCAGGGUGAGUCGGGUCCUAAGGCGAGGCCGACAGGCGUAGUCGAUGGUCAACGGGUUGAUAUUCCCGUACCCGUAUAUACGCGCCCAGUAUCGAAGCGGUGAUACUAACCACCCAGAUCC